GAUCCUGGCUCAGGAUGAACGCUGGCGGCAUGCCUAAUACAUGCAAGUCGAACGAAGUCUUUAGGAAGCUUGCUUCCAAAGAGACUUAGUGGCGAACGGGUGAGUAACACGUAGGUAACCUGCCCAUGUGCCCGGGAUAACUGCUGGAAACGGUAGCUAAAACCGGAUAGGUAUGAGGAAGGCAUCUUCCUCAUAUUAAAGCACCUUCGGGUGUGAACAUGGAUGGACCUGCGGCGCAUUAG
rnacentral:rRNA from 1 species